rnacentral:rRNA from 1 species
GAUGAACGCUGGCGGCGUGCCUAAUACAUGCAAGUCGAGCGAACAGACGAGGAGCUUGCUCCUCUGACGUUAGCGGCGGACGGGAGUGUAACACGUGUAUAACCUACCUAUAAGACUGGGAUAACUUCGGGAAACCGGAUCUAAUACCGGAUAAUAUAUUGAACCGCAUGGGUCAAUAGUGAAAUACGGUUUUGCGGUCUCUUAUCGAUGGAUCCGCGCCGCAUUAGCUAGUUGGUAAGGUAACGGCUUACCAAGGCAAGCAUGCGUAUCCGACCUGAGAGAGGGAUAGGCCACACUGGAAGGGAGACACGGUCCAGAGUCCUACGGGAGGCAGCAGUCGGGAAUCGUCCGCAAUGGGCGAGAGCAUGACGGAGCAAGGGCGCGUGAGUGAUGAAGGUCUUCGGAUCGUAAAACUCUGUUAUUAGGGAAGAACAAAUGUGUAAGUAAAUGUGCACGUCUUGACGGUAACUAAUCAGAAAGCCACGGCUAACUACGUG